rnacentral:rRNA from 1 species
UACGGAAGGCAGCAGUGGGGAAUAUUGCACAAUGGGCGAAAGCCUGAUGCAGCUAUGCCGCGUGUAUGAAGAAGGCCUUAGGGUUGUAAAGUACUUUCAUCGGGGAGGAAAAAACAAAACUAAUAAUUUUAUUUCUUGACGUUACCCGAAAAAGAAGCACCGGCUAACUCCGUGCCAGCAGCCGCGGUAAUACGGAGGGUGCUAGCGUUAAUCAGAAUUACUGGGCGUAAAGAGCACGUAGGUGGUUUUUUUAAGUUCAGAUGUGAAAUCCCUGGGCUUAACCUAGGAACUGCAUUUUGAAACUGAAAUACUAGAGUAUCGUAGAGGGAGGUAGAAUUCUAGGUGUAGCGGUGAAAUGCGUAGAUAUCUGGAGGAAUACCUGUGGCGAAAGCGGCCUCCUAAACGAAUACUGACACUGAGGUGCGAAAGCGUGGGGAGCAAACGAGGAUUAGAUACCCGU